AUGACUGUAACUAGUUUCCUCUUUCAACAGAACCCUUCCUUUCCUGGAUCCAGCCCCUCACAAAGGUGGGGCACAAGCUCUCUCUCCAGCACUUUUCCUUGUCUGGAGCUUAUCUCUCCUCUUCAUAACGGUGCUGAACUGGCGGAAGGAACCUCCAGGUGUCGGAGGAAAGAGGAAGAGUCUCCGAGGAGGUGGGUGAAUCUGGUACCUGUAGGUGGAGCGGAACCGGUGCUCAAUAAUGGCUCGUCUUCCAGGGACAAGGUGAGCUGUCUGUGCGAGGAGCCCAAAUCCAGCCAGCAGGACCAGGACAACAGGGCGACCAAACCGAAGACCUUGUUUCCAGGGACCAGACCAACCAAAACAAAGCCAGACCCUCCGGCUGCUGUGGCUUCAGUGGAGAUUUUAAAGAGAGUGGGACAGAGCGGCCUUAUGAUCAGCUGGGAGAGGCCACCGCUGGACGAGCUGGGCUGCAGUAACGGCACCUUUGUGAGCGGAUACAUGAUCUGUGUCAACGGCGAGUUCCGCAAAUCUGUCGUGAGCUCAGCCUGUACCAAGACAGUUCUGGAGAACCUGGAUCUGUCUCUGUCGCUGCACAUCAGUGUCCAGACCUUGGGCUCUAAUGGGCUCCUUGCUGAGAAGGUGUAUGUCCUCUCCAAGGGCAUGAGUCCCCCUCCUGGAUCAGCGCCCCCCCCGCGCAUUCACCGACACCGUUGGACAGCACAGCCGGUUAGACCUGCGCGCGCACACAAACCGAAAUGGACAUGGACACCCACUCGCUGAAACAUACACAGGUGCAAAUGGUGUCAUUGUUUCCCCAUCAGUUUCACACCCACUUUCACUUCACUGCAAUAACUGAAAAUCUGUUGAAAAUC
rnacentral:lncRNA from 1 species